rnacentral:rRNA from 1 species
UACGUAGGGGGCAAGCGUUGUCCGGAUUUACUGGGCGUAAAGCGUGCGCAGGCGGUUGUGCAAGACAGAUGUGAAAUCCCCGGGCUUAACCUGGGAAUUGCAUUUGUGACUGCACGGCUAGAGUGUGUCAGAGGGGGGUAGAAUUCCACGUGUAGCAGUGAAAUGCGUAGAUAUGUGGAGGAACACCGAUGGCGAAGGCAAUCCCCUGGGCCUGUACUGACGCUCAUGCACGAAAGCGUGGGGAGCAAACAGG